rfam:Oryza glumipatula chromosome 10, whole genome shotgun sequence.
AAAAAGGCAAACCGUGGGUUCCCGUGCCAACGUUUGACUGUCCAUCUUAUAUGAAAUUUUUUUAUAAUUAGUAUUUUCAGUGUUGUUAGAUGAUAAAACAUGAUUAAUACUUUGUGCGUGACUUAUCUUUUUAAUUUUUUUCAUAAUUUUUUUAAAUAAGACGAACGGUCAAAUAUUGGACAUGGAAACCAGGGUUUGUCUUUUU